rnacentral:misc_RNA from 1 species
GAUGAAGAACGCAGCGAAAUGCGAUAAGUAGUGUGAAUUGCAGAAUUCAGUGAAUCAUCGAAUCUUUGAACGCACAUUGCGCCCUUUGGUAUUCCUUAGGGCAUGCCUGUUCGAGCGUCAUUUAAACCUUCAAGCUCAGCUUGGUGUUGGGUGACUGUCCGCUUCACCGCGGACUCGCCUCAAAAUUAUUGGCGGCCGGUACAUUGGCUUCGAGCGCAGCAGAAACGCGAACUCGGGCCCGUCGUAUUGGCUCACAGAAGCUAUCUUCACAAUUUUGACCUCGGAUCAGGUAGGGAUACCCGCUGAACUUAAGCAUAUCAAUAAGCGGAGGA